GAUGGAAAUGAUGAAGAAAACAUUGGUCCGUGUUUCUGAUAACCCGUGACUGAUAGCCAUGUUUUCUAAACUGAUCCCUGUCAUGUU
rnacentral:snoRNA from 1 species